CUAGCGACUUCAGAGUUUGAUCCUGGCUCAGGAUGAACGCUGGCGGCGUGCAUAACACAUUCAAGUCGAACGGUGACGAGGACUUCGGUCCUCUGAUCAGUGGCGGACGGGUGAGUAACGCGUGAGCAACCUGCCCUAUAUUGCGGGAUAACAACCGGAAACAGUUGCUAAUACCGCAUGACGUAUUCGGAUCGCAUGUUCUGAAUACCAAAGAAUUUUGAUAUAGGAUGGGCUCGCGUCCGAUUAGGCAGUUGGUGGGGUAACGGCCCACCAAACCGACGAUCGGUAGCCGAACUGAGAGGUUGAACGGCCACAUUGGAACUGAGAUACGGUCCAG
rnacentral:rRNA from 1 species